rnacentral:lncRNA from 1 species
UUUUUUUUUUUGUUAGAACAACUCAGCAAAAUAAAAUUCCUGUUUAUUGUUGGACAACAUUGUUUCACACAUACAUCAAACAGGCCAAAAAAAAUAAACAGCAACUUCAUAGACAAAAAAGGAAAAAAAAGAAACCUUUUAUCUUUGGCCUUUUUAACCAUCUCAUACAAACCAACUACUUAUAGUACAGCUAAGUACAUACACAAAAAAGUUACUGGAAUGCUCGGAAUAAGAUUGUUUUUCUGUUGUCAUUUUUGCUUUUUUUACAAGGUUUUUUUUCUCCUUUGAGAUUAUAAUGAACAUGGUCACACCACAAGUAAAGUCAGAAGUAGGACAGAGAACGCUCCGAAGGCUGGUUUGGUCAUCGGAGAUCAUUAAAAAUGGCUGACUCUAACAAUAUGUACAAAAAUAUAAAAUGUAAAUAAAAAAUACAAACAAAUUUCCUUUUUAAAGUACUUUUAAGAAAAAAAGCAGGGCCUUGGAAGUUUUGGUUCUUUUUUCCUCCCCUGUUGCAAAUUCUCAUGGUUUGGGUUGGGUGGUGGAGAGCGCGUGUCAUCUGCGGGUGGCACUGUCCACGGUGGGCGGGCGGGCCUCUCUACUCGAAGGUGACCACGUUUAGAUUCUGAGACGGGAAGUGGAGGGUGAAUAGGUCAAGGCGGCCUUUUUUUUUAGUUUAACUUUUCCUUUUUUGCUGUCUAGUCAUCCUCGUCGGUCUUCUGCUUCUUGGUAUCGACAUCGUCAUCCUCAUCAUCUUCAGCUGCCCGCUUGCCCGUAGCUGUCUCAGCUUCCUCAUCUUCCUCCCCACCUUCUUCCUCUUC